rnacentral:rRNA from 1 species
ACUCCUACGGGAGGCAGCAGGUGGGAAUAUUGCACGAAUGGGCGCAAGCCUGAUGCAGCCAUGCCGCGUGUGUGAAGAAGGGCCUUCGGGUUGAUAAAGCACUUUCAGUCGUGAAGGAAGGUGGUGUUGUUAAUAGCAGCUAUCAUUUGACGUUAGCGACAGAAGAAGCACCGGCUAACUCCGUGCCAGCAGCCGCGGUAAUACGGAGGGUGCGAGCGUUAAUCGGAAUUACUGGGCGUAAAGCGCAUGCAGGUGGUUUGUUAAGUCAGAUGUGAAAGCCCGGGGCUCAACCUCGGAAUAUGCAUUUGAAACUGGCAAGCUAGAGUACUGGUAGAGGGGGUAGAAUUUCAGGUGUAGCGGUGAAAUGCGUAGAGAUCUGGAGGAAUACCGG